rnacentral:rRNA from 1 species
UACCAGCACCCCGAGUGGUCGGGACGUUUAUUGGGCCUAAAGCAUCCGUAGCCGGUUCUACAAGUCUUCCGUUAAAUCCACCUGCUUAACAGAUGGGCUGCGGAAGAUACUAUAGAGCUAGGAGGCGGGAGAGGCAAGCGGUACUCGAUGGGUAGGGGUAAAAUCCGUUGAUCCAUUGAAGACCACCAGUGGCGAAGGCGGCUUGCCAGAACGCGCUCGGACGGUGAGGGGAUGAAAGCUGGGGGAGCAAACCGG